rnacentral:rRNA from 1 species
CACGUAGGCGGGAAAGCAAGUCAGAUGUGAAAUCCCAAAGCUCAACUCUGGGACUGCAUUUGAUACUGCUUUUCUUGAGUACGAGAGAGGAUGGCGGAAUUCUUGGUGUAGCGGUGAAAUGCGUAGAUAUCAAGAAGAACACCGGUGGCGAAGGCGGCCAUCUGGCUCGAUACUGACGCUCAGGUGCGAAGGUCGGGGGAGCGAACAGGAUUAGAUACCCUGGUAGUCCCGACGGUAAACGAUGGGAACUAGGUGUUGGAGGUAUCGACCCCUCCAGUGCCGCAGCUAACGCAUUAAGUUCCCCGCCUGGGGAGUACGGCCGCAAGGUUGAA